UUGCCGCCAUACCACGUUGAAAUCCUGGUUCCCGUAAGAUCACCGAAGUUAAGCAACGUCGAGCCUGGCCAUCACCUAGAUGGGUGACUGCUUGGGAAUAACAGGUAU